UACGAAGGGGACUAGCGUUGUUCGGAAUCACUGGGCGUAAAGCGCACGUAGGCGGAUUUGUAAGUCAGGGGUGAAAUCCCGGGGGCUCAACCUCGGAACUGCCUUUGAUACUGCGAGUCUUGAGUCCGAUAGAGGUGGGUGGAAUUCCUAGUGUAGAGGUGAAAUUCGUAGAUAUUAGGAAGAACACCAGUGGCGAAGGCGGCCCACUGGAUCGGUACUGACGCUGAGGUGCGAAAGCGUGGGGAGCAAACAGG
rnacentral:rRNA from 1 species